rnacentral:tRNA from 3 species
GAAUGUGGCGAAGUGGUUAACGCACCGGAUUGUGGCUCCGGCAUUCGUGAGUUCGAUUCUCAUCAUUC